rnacentral:rRNA from 1 species
AUUGAACGCUAGCGGGAUGCCUUACACAUGCAAGUCGAACGGCAGCACGGACUUCGGUCUGGUGGCGAGUGGCGAACGGGUGAGUAAUGUAUCGGAACGUGCCCAGUAGCGGGGGAUAACUACGCGAAAGCGUAGCUAAUACCGCAUACGCCUACGGGGAAAGGCAGGGAUCUUCGGACCUUGCACUAUUGGAGCGGCCGAUAUCGGAUUAGCUAGUUGGUGGGGUAACGGCCUACCAAGGCGACGAUCCGUAGCUGGUUUGAGAGGACGACCAGCCACACUGGGACUGAGACACGGCCCAG